rnacentral:rRNA from 1 species
GACGAACGCUGGCGGCGUGCCUAAUACAUGCAAGUUGAGCGCUGAAGGCUGGUACUUGUACCAACUGGAUGAGCCGCGAACGGGUGAGUCACGCGUGUGGACUCUGCCUUUGAGCGGGGGACCACAUGUGGAAACGAAUGCUAAUACCGCAUAAAAACUUUCAACACAAGUUGUAAGUUUGAAAGAUGCAAUUGCAUCACUCAAAGAUGAUCCCGCGUUGUAUUAGCUAGUUGGUGAGGUAAAGGCUCACGAAGGCGAUGAUACAUAGUAGAACUGAGAGGGUGGUCAGCCGCAUUGGGAGUGAGACCCGGCCCAAACUCACACAGGUGGCGGCAAGAGGGAAUCUGCGGCAAGGGACGAAAGUCUGAGCGAGCAACGCCGAAUGAGUGAAGAAGAUUGUCGGAUCGUAAAACUCGGUUGGUAGAGAAGAACGUGGGUGAGAGUGGAAAGCUGAGCAAGUGACGGUAACGAGUAAGAAAGGGACGGCUAACUACGUG